rnacentral:lncRNA from 1 species
GCUUUUAACUGCUUGUGGUUGAGUGGCAGCAUGAGCGAGCUCUGCGUAUUCCAACCCGGCGUUAAGAAUCCUUCACUAGCUUUUCUUCCCGACGCUGCUUAUUUAUCUAUCGGUAGCAUGACGGGUAAUUGACGCCCUCGGAUGGCUUUGAGGUCGCCAUUUUUGGUUGGUGCCUUUGUCUUGGUGUCAGGACUGGGAUAUCAUCUGGGACACAUUACCCCACAGGUAUCCUGUUGGACCUCAACGAGGAAGUUGGCAACAGAGGAACCAGGAGAUGAGAGAGAUCGAUACCUACAGCCGCUGAGAGCCGGUAUUCCAACGCCAUGAGACGCCUUCUGUCGUGAGCAGUUGACAAGAAAGACCCAGCACUUACUGCAACCGGAAGGAGCGGUUCCUCCCUCGCUCGCGCAGCCGCUCUUCCCCGCCACUCCCUCGGUGCCCGCCAGCACAUUCCCAGCAAGCCCUGAGUAUAUUUGCAUAUCAACUCACUACAUUUUUUUCUUCUAACUAAAAAAUCGAAAGGACAAAUUCCAGAUUCUCCUUGUGAAGUCUUCCUUUCAGUUCAGAAGAAAUGGAAUUCGCUCUUCAACUUCAGGAAGUUGAAAUAAAGAGUUGCUUGGA